GAUAAACGCUGGCGGCGUGCCUAACACAUGCAAGUCGAACGCUCUUGGGAAGUCACAUUCUCAAGGGAGUGGCGGACGGGUGAGUAACACGUGGGUUAUCUGCCAAGAGGUGAGGAAUACCGGCGAGAAAUCGCCGACAAUACCGCAUACGUUUGGAAACAAACAAAGUUCCGGGCGACCGGGACGCCUGUUGAUGAGCCUGCGUCCGAUUAGCUUCGUUGGUGGGGUAAAAGCCUACCAAGGCGACGAUCGGUAGCUGGUCUGAGAGGACGAUCAGCCACACUGGGAUUGAGAACGGCCCAGACUCCUACGGGGGGCAGCAGUGAGGAAUUUCGUCAAUGGGGGCAACCCUGAACAAGCAACGCCGCGUGCAGGAAGAAGGUUUUCGGAUCGUAAACUGCUUUUCUUGGGGAAGAGAAGGGACGGUACCUGAGGAAGAAGCCCCGGCUAACUACGUGCCAGCAGCCGCGGUAAAAC
rnacentral:rRNA from 1 species